rnacentral:misc_RNA from 1 species
UCGCGAUUGAGGUAUGACGCAAGCUUCUUUGCUUUCAGUCUGAAAUUGUUGGGAAAACUUCGAGCAUCAGAUCAGAAAAUUUUUGGUUUCAAAUUUGUUCAUCUGGUAUUCCAUUUCUCCAGGAUUUCAACUGAUCAUCGCUUUCUAUUUCAAACGCGGACAUAAUGGCAUCCACAUCGUAUUCUAGAAGACCAUCGAGGACAGAAUGGCAACUUUGCCAUAGCCAAAGCAGUGGUUAGAGGUUAUCUUAUGACCAGAAGAAUACCCGACUUGAGAAGAGUCGAUAUACACACGGUUACCUUGACUCUGAAGAUAUUUUUGUCUUCAUUGAGCGAGCCACUCAUUACGGAUGAACUCCGGAAUUCUUUCGUUGGCGCGUCUCGCAUAGCUGAAAAAUUAACGAGGGAUGUAACACUCACCGAAUUAUUAAUAUUACUUCCGAAUGCGAAUGGCCAAACUCUCCGCUAUCUUUUAUAUCAUUUACGGUUUGUGACCAGUAUGGCACCGGGAUGCAGUUUUUAUACUCUCGCUUUCGUUUUUGGACCCAUAGUGGUCGGCGGGAGCUCUGAAUAUCUUACUCCACCUGCAUUAUCCAUUCGAAAAGAAGAUCAAAUUCAGGUUUUCAAAAGCUUGUUGGAAAUGGAUCAUUAUUAUAACCACGUUUUCUCUUCAAAGCUCAGGGGAAAUAUUCAUCGACGAUAAUAUACCCCGAUCGUAGUGACCUUCGACAGGAUGAAGAUGUCAUCUCGAUAUGAAAAACAAAAUUAAUAUUCGUAGUCAAUGCUUGAUAAUAAUCCUGAUGAUAAUCCAAUUUUUUGCGGUAUUUCAUGAUGAGAUUUAAAUUUCAUUCAACAUCCUCAUUUCAGUGUCAACUAUUUAUGUUGAAUAAAGACAUUAUAAAUUA